UACGUAGGGACCAAGCGUUGUUCGGAUUUACUGGGCGUAAAGGGCGCGUAGGCGGCUUAACAAGUCACUUGUGAAAUCUCCGGGCUUAACUCGGAACGGCCAAGUGAAACUGUCAAGCUAGAGUGCAGAAGGGGCAAUCGGAAUUCUUGGUGUAGCGGUGAAAUGCGUAGAUAUCAAGAGGAACACCUGAGGUGAAGACGGGUUGCUGGGCUGACACUGACGCUGAGGAGCGAAAGCGUGGGGAGCGAACAGG
rnacentral:rRNA from 1 species